GUUCUUGGCAUCUCCUGUGAUGUCACCAGUGUUGUAGCAACAAGCUCAUAUAGGAUUCUCACUCAGUGUCUAGCCACUAGGUUGGUGAACAUGUUUGCUCGACUCUGCAAUCUUUUUGGGAGAGCCAGUGUGGAUGGGAGAGAGACCAGAGAGAGGAGGAAGGGUGCUGGCCUUCCAUCUGAGAGUAAUGAAGGACGAAGGAGGUGGACUUGGAGAAUGUGGAGGGCUCGAAGACACACAUCAUCCACUGCACCUGACCUAAGUAAGAAGGAGUUCAAAAAGGAAAAAGAGAGGCUGACCACAGAGCUGCACCUCCUCAUUCAGCUGAGAAAUGAGCAGAGAGAUCACCUGAUCGAUUUCAAAGAGAGUUCCAAUUACAAUAGGACCAAGCCCACCCAGAAGAAAAAUCCAUUCUAUGAACAACUGAGAUCAACCAAGGACCAGGUCCUGUCUUCUGUGUAUAAGUUAGAGAUGGGGAUAAUUGAGGCCCAAGAGAAUAUCCAGGAGCUCAAUAAGUGGAUAGACUACUUUACAAACCUACAUAGCCAGCUCUUGAUGGAGAAGAAUCUUAAGAUGUCCAUCACACAGAACCAGAAGAACAAGGAAGUACAGAUUGAUUGGGCUCUCAUUGAGAAAUAUUUGGUUGCCUUGAACCUGAAUGGACAAACAGGAGCAGACCAGCAACCAUGAGACCCAACAACUUCAGGACUCAGCGACUCCAGCAAGAGCUGAAAUGUCCACAUCCCAGGAAGAGAGCCUCCUGCAGAAUGAGUUUCCACCUCAGGAGCCCCCUGCUGAACUCCAUCCCCAACAUCCACAGUCUACCUUGAAUGAAUCUUCUUACACUCAGUACAUUUACAAGGUGUGAAUAGGAGGAAGCCAGUGAGCCAGCUGAUUCAGGGUGUUGUUCCCUUUCCUGUUCUGGCAACACCACUUGAGAAACAACUGAGGUGACUGCCCCUCCAACAGCAGUCCAAGAGGAGAUACAGGCUGUAGGUCUGUACUCCUUAACAUGCAGUGAAAGGGUGCUGAUGUUCAAUCAUUUUCUGUUCAAGUUUUGGUUAAAGUUUUGCUCUUUAUUGUUUUAUUUAGUUUUUAGGUUUUGCUGAAGUUAUAUGUUCUUAUUUGGUUUUCAUGGUUGAAUUUUUCUUUUCAUCUCUUUUUAGUAUUGUACUUUUAAAGCCUGUUUAUUAAACAUUGUAUUUCCAGUAAAUAAAAGUUGAUUUACAAC